UCCUCUAACCAUGAAUGCCCACACCUUAAAAGACAGUUUUGAAGCUGUUUCUCGGAUCCAGAACAUACCAGAAAACCUUUUCAGAGACGGUUACAGAUUUGUUUCGUUUGACGUUAAGUCCCUAUUCACUAAUGUGCCCCUAAAGAAAACCAUCAACAUAAUCCUUGAUAGAAUUUACAACAAGAAAGAGAUCAACACCACUCUAAAGAAACGAACAUUAAAGAAACUACUGCUUGAUUGUUGUACCAAGACCCUUUUUUCUAUAAACGGCGAACUCUUCAAACAGAUCGACGGCGUAGCAAUGGGUUCUCCACUAGGUCCUACCCUUGCCAACAUCAUCAUGACAACUUUCGAGAAUGAAAUUGUACGCCAAUUAAUUGACUCGAACGUUAUAAAAUUUUACGC